UACGGGGGGUGCGAGCGUUGUCCGGAAUUACUGGGCGUAAAGGGUGCGCAGGCGGCUCCGCAUGUCGGGCGUGAAAGUCCUGGGCUCAACCUGGGAACUGCGCUUGAUACGGCAGAGCUAGAGGAUGGAAGAGGGUCGCGGAAUUCCCAGUGUAGAGGUGAAAUUCGUAGAUAUUGGGAAGAACACCGGUGGCGAAGGCGGCGACCUGGUCCAUUACUGACGCUAAGGCGCGACAGCGUGGGGAGCAAACGGG
rnacentral:rRNA from 1 species